rnacentral:rRNA from 1 species
GAUGAACGCUGGCGGCGUGCCUAAUACAUGCAAGUCGAGCGAACGGACGAGAAGCUUGCUUCUCUGAUGUUAGCGGCGGACGGGUGAGUAACACGUGGAUAACCUACCUAUAAGACUGGGAUAACUUCGGGAAACCGGAGCUAAUACCGGAUGAUAUUUUGAACCGCAUGGUUCAAAAGUGAAAGACGGUCUUGCUGUCACUUAUAGAUGGAUCCGCGCUGCAUUAGCUAGUUGGUAAGGUAACGGCUUACCAAGGCAACGAUGCAUAGCCGACCUGAGAGGGUGAUCGGCCACGCUGGAACUGAGACACGGUCCAGACUCCUACGGGAGGCAGCAGUAGGGAAUCUUCCGCAAUGGGCGAAAGCCUGACGGAGCAACGCCGCGUGAGUGAUGAAGGUCUUCGGAUCGUAAAACUCUGUUAUUAGGGAAGAACAUAUGUGUAAGUAACUGUGCACAUCUUGACGGUACCUAAUCAGAAAGCCACGGCUAACUACGUG